rnacentral:rRNA from 1 species
AGCAGCCGCGGUAAUUCCAGCUCCAAUAGCGUAUAUUAAAGUUGUUGCAGUUAAAAAGCUCGUAGUUGAAUUUCGGGGUUAGUAGGUUGGUCAUGCCUCUGGUAUGUACUGGUCUCACUGAUUCCUCCUUCCUGAUGAACCUUAAUGCCAUUAAUUUGGUGUUUUGGGGAAUUUGGACUGUUACUUUGAAAAAAUUAGAGUGUUUAAAGCAAGCUAACGCUUGAAUACAUUAGCAUGGAAUAAUGAAAUAGGACGUUCGAUCCUAUUUUGUUGGUUUCUAGGAUUGACGUAAUGAUUAAUAGGGAUAGUUGGGGGCAUUAGUAUUCAAUUGUCAGAGGUGAAAUUCUUGGAUUUAUUGAAGACUGACUACUGCGAAAGCAUUUGCCAAGGAUGUUUUCAUUAAUCAAGAACGAAAGUUAGGGGAUCGAAGACGAUCAGAUACCGUCGUAGUCUUAACCAUAAACUAUGCCGACUAGGGAUCGGAUGAUGUUAAUUUUUUAAUGACUCAUUCGGCGCCUUACG